CGCUUCGUCCAUACCAUCCCUUCUUCCAUCCUCCCCCCUUCCCGCUCGCCGCCGCGCCCAUCACUUUUCAUCUCAGACCAGCGCCGCCUCUGUCGGCUCCGUUGUCCGAGUUAUACGAUGGGCUCCUAGGGACCAUCCUCUCGGCGGCGAACGGGAAGAGGGGGGAUGGAAGAAGGGCGCGUGGAUGGCAGCAGCGGUGAAAACCGUGGACGCGACCUAGCAAAUCCUCGUGCCUCCACGCAAAUUCACCCCUCCGCCCAGACAUGGUCCUCUUCUCCCCUUCCACGUCGACAGAGGGCUCCGAUGGAGGACGACUGCAGGUCGCUGAGGCAAAGCACAAACGACGGCCACCAUCGGCGGCCGCGCACCGGAUCUGGGCAGGGAGGGCCCGAGCAUGAUUGCCGGGCACUGAGGCAACCGCCGGUGACGGCGAUGGCUCCAUGUUGUUCAUGACCACCAUCGGCAUCCACGCUCCGGAUCUGGGCAGGGAGGGACCGAUAUGGGGUUGGAGAUUUGGGCCCAUGGCGUGGCGGCGUGUCCUCUCCCUGGGUUUCAAAAAUUCGAGUACAUGAAUUCUCUGCAAGCACGAUGCAUUAUGUGUAUUUUUAUCUUAGGUACAUCUUUCUUUCCAACAAAGGUACACACAUGUUUCUUCAUGGAUCCAACUACAUGAACAUGGAGGAAGUUGAUCAUACAGUCAUCAUAGUUUACUGAACUGGGCUAUGUUCUUGUUGGGAGACAUAUUGAGGAUAAAGGAAAAGGUAGAUCACGAUGGCGAGCACGGCGAGCUGCGGAGGAACAUGGCAAGCUACGACGAAGCACGGCGAGCUGCAGAGAAGCAUGGCGAGCUACCGAGGAGCAAUGACGUCUCAGACAUGUUCGCAGGAGCUCCACAAGUUCCGGGCGGAUGGAGGCAGUGACUGGCAGCUGGGGAGGAGGAGCACGGGUGGGUGCGGCACCUGGCCGAGGCAGCGGCGUGCACCUGAUCACUUGAGGCGGAGAGGGCUUCAGCGCUGGAGGCGUGCACCUGCCCAGCUCGAGGUGGAGAUAGUGGGGUGUUCGAGCAACGUGGGGGUUUCAGCUUUAAAUAUUGGAAAUUAACCAUCACUUCGCUCAUCUUGGCAUUGUGCCAGAUUGAAAUCACCUCUCCCGAAGUUGCGCCUCAGCUCAACAUUGCCACGCCUGAAUAUCUGCUCCAGCUCGGCAGUGGAAACACAGCAGCUGCUCGACGGCACACACUCAGGUAAUUGACAGAAUGCUAUGUAGACAUUCACUCGUAAUUUUGGUCGUGGGCUGGCUUGUGUUCAUUUUAGUUGAUGAUAUUCUGCUGUAGAUGCAUUGUUGGAUUGCACAAACAGGCUAAUUGACAGUGGAACUCGAAUUUUGUGUUGGAUUAGUGGGUAUUACCGAUCCUCAUCAAAUUUGUUGUUCAACUCAUACGCGUUAAAAUUUUGUGACUGAAUUGGUAAUCUAAUUUUCUAAGAUGUGGCUUUUCUCUAUAUGUUCAGUUCAGUUAAUGAAGAAAUUUCGACUGUCCUUGAAUUGGUGCUUUGCUCUCUGGAAUAAUUUUCCUAAUAGCACGAAACAAAUGAGUUGUGUGUUUACUGCUGUGGCCAUUUGUUUUAAUACCUCUCAUGGUACAACAUAUGCUGAUGUCUUAAUAGCAUGAAACCUCUGAAUGUAGUUCAAGAUACACUGGUGAAACAAGAAAUCGGGGAUGAACUCCGCAACAGGAGGAACACAUAAUGUCAGCUUGCAGAUUUUGGUGAGUUCAAUGCUCAUUCUUGGUUAUAUAUUUUAAUUAGGCACUGCAGAUAGUAACUGAAAUGAUGCAUAUGUAGAAUGUUGUCAGCACUGCGAGUGGCAUCAACAUAUAUUUGGAGAGGCCAAUUUGGUCACCUUCUGGUGCUUAUAACAAUUAUGCUAGCUCCGAGACUGACACCAAGCAAAGUCAUGCCGUCAACAAACAUGUUCUGGAUGGACCUUUUGUUAUUGGUUGUCAAGAUUCAAAUGCUAAUGCCUUACUUCCCUAGAAAAUUAUUCCUGGAAAAGGAAGUGAAGUUUUAGAGUAAGCAUAGCUAAGGAGUUGUGCAGUACAUAGGAUAGUACCAGGAAUAGUACCUUCAAGUUGAUUGAGAAACCAGAUGUAUAGGGCCAUAAAUAUUCUAAUGGCGAUUGCAUUGUUUGUAAUUUAAAUAUACAACCAUUCAAAGGAAUGUAUUGUGCAUGCAAAGGUAGUCUCAUGAUUUUGUUUAUUCAAGCACAUUCAUUUUAUUACAGU